GCGUCUGUAGCUCAGUGGAUAGAGCACUGCCCUCCGGAGGCAGGUGUCGGAGGUUCGAAUCCUCUCAGACGCACC
rnacentral:tRNA from 1 species